rnacentral:rRNA from 1 species
AACGAACGCUGGCGGCAUGCCUAACACAUGCAAGUCGAACGAGACCUUCGGGUCUAGUGGCGCACGGGUGCGUAACGCGUGGGAACCUGCCCUUAGGUUCGGAAUAACUCCCCGAAAGGGGUGCUAAUACCGGAUAAUGUCUUCGGACCAAAGAUUUAUCGCCUUUGGAUGGGCCCGCGUUGGAUUAGCUAGUUGGUAGGGUAAAAGCCUACCAAGGCGACGAUCCAUAGCUGGUCUGAGAGGAUGAGCAGCCACACUGGUACUGAGACACGGCCCAGACUCUUACGGGAGGCAGCAGUGGGGAAUAUUGGACAAUGGGCGAAAGGCUGAUCCAGCAAUGCCGCGUGAGUGAUGAAGGCCGUAGGGUUGUAAAGCUCUUUUACCCGGGAUGAUAAUGACAGUACCGGGAGAAUAAGCACCGGCUAACUCCGUG